CUGACAUCCCUAAGAGUUCAACGUUCUUAUCCAAGCUCUAACAUGAGCUAGAGCAGAGAGCAGAGGCAAAUUUAAUUUUACCUGAAACCUUUGCCCUAAGCUGAUUGGCCAGCUAACGCAGGCUUUGAUUAACUCACUGUGUCAUUAAACAUCUUGAAUCCUUCCACUUUCUUAUCACGACAGAGAAAGGCAAUUCAGAGCACUGCACCCACAUAAACAAAUAUUUUUAAGUCCAAUUAGGCUAUGUCCUCUCUCUGCAAGACUCAUGGGCCAUUCUUCCCAUUCAGUGAAGGAAAUAUAUAUGAUUUGUAUCCCACAUUUUUCUUCUCAAAGAAGUGACUUAAGUUUUUUAAAUCUAUCUCAUCCGAAUGCAGUCUGGAGCCCAAAAGCCCAGUGCAAUGUCUUUAACAGAAGGAGGAGCCCUUGUGUGUGAUUGAGGAAACAGCUGGCCAGUAAUGCACAAGCACUAGCUAGAGUCACCCAUGCACAAAAAUUUUAAAAGAUGUGAGAAACAGAAAAAAAGAGGCUAUAGGAACUUUCGGUGCACCUUGUUGUUUGGUAACUGAGAGAAGAUCAGCAAUGGCUAGACUCCACAGAUCACUCACUAUAUAUAUCACAUCCCUAACACUUACGAAAUCCCAGAAGGGAGUCAUCAUUGUCGAAGAGGCUGUGGCAUGUGCCCGAGGUCACAGACUCAGCAAACACUGGGGCCGGGCUUCAAACUCAGGACCCUCUACUGCCAAAAGUUCCUGUUCUCUCUCUUCUACCAAGUUGCCUCGGGCUUUCAGGCUUUAUGUUCAUUUUCCAGCCCUCAAAAGAGUUCUCCAUGCUCUCACGUUUAUCGAUAGUUCUCAGAAUGAAAUUACAGCUGCCUCUCCAGGUGGUGAGGGACCGUCUCACUUUGCAUCUAACCUUGUGUUCCCCAUUCAGGGCUGACAGGUAGCCACGGUCCCUCCUUUAUGAAAAUGUCAGCAAGCCAUCUUGGAGGGGAAAAGGUGAUGCUGACAUUCUACUUUCCUGUAACUCCCUGGAGAACGUUUAAUCCCCGUGACCUUGUGGCUCUUUAAAAAGAGUCAAUCCCCAGACCUUGUCAGCUGGUGACAGCCAGCAUUUCAUCUAAUGGGCCCGAGGGUGGGCACAGUUUGCAGAGAGGGAAGUUAACAUCUGCCUGGUGUUUGAAAAGCAAAUGUGGUUUCUCGAUGAUUAUUAUUCAUCAACAGUAUCCAAAGGCAUGUUUGCCCUGUGUUGUUGUUUGUAGAGAAAAACAAUCCCAAGCACAGAUACGCAGAUUCUAUGUUGUUUUUAUGAUGAGCUAGCAAGAUGCUGCUUUCUUCUGGAGAAGUGAAGGCACCCAAUUUGAUUUUUAGGACACCCAAAAUGGAAUAUUAUAAUAUUAUUAAUAUUAAAGCAUAAUAGCUAUGACAUUGAUAACCAUCACUUAUGAAAACAGACAAUGACCUUGGUGAUUUACCAUAUCCAGUCAUAUCCUCAUAAUAGCUCUCCAUAUGUAAAAUUAUUUCCAAUUUUACAGAUGAAAAGCUGAGCUUAAGCCUGAGAUGCAGGACUGGGGCUGCCCUGAGAAAUGUUUG
rnacentral:lncRNA from 1 species